rnacentral:rRNA from 1 species
GCUUGCUGGGUGGAUUAGUGGCGAACGGGUGAGUAACACGUGAGUAACCUGCCCUUAACUCUGGGAUAAGCCUGGGAAACUGGGUCUAAUACCGGAUAGGAGCGUCCACCGCAUGGUGGGUGUUGGAAAGAUUUAUCGGUUUUGGAUGGACUCGCGGCCUAUCAGCUUGUUGGUGAGGUAAUGGCUCACCAAGGCGACGACGGGUAGCCGGCCUGAGAGGGUGACCGGCCACACUGGGACUGAGACACGGCCCAGACUCCUACGGGAGGCAGCAGUGGGGAAUAUUGCACAAUGGGCGCAAGCCUGAUGCAGCGACGCCGCGUGAGGGAUGACGGCCUUCGGGUUGUAAACCUCUUUCAGUAGGGAAGAAGCGAAAGUGACGGUACCUGCAGAAGAAGCACCGGCUAACUACGUGCCAGCAGCCGCGGUAAUACGUAGGGUGCGAGCGUUAUCCGGAAUUAUUGGGCGUAAAGAGCUCGUAGGCGGUUUGUCGCGUCUGUCGUGAAAGUC